AGACCCGAAACCCGGUGAUCUAGCCAUGGGCAGGUUGAAGGUUGGGUAACACUAACUGGAGGACCGAACCGACUAAUGUUGAAAAAUUAGCGGAUGACCUGUGGCUGGGGGUGAAAGGCCAAUCAAACCGGGAGAUAGCUGGUUCUCCCCGAAAGCUAUUUAGGUAGCGCCUCGUGAACUCAUCUCCGGGGGUAGAGCACUGUUUCGGCUAGGGGGCCAUCCCGGCUUACCAACCCGAUGCAAACUGCGAAUACCGGAGAAUGUUAUCACGGGAGACACACGGCGGGUGCUAACGUCCGUCGUGAAGAGGGAAACAACCCAGACCGCCAGCUAAGGUCCCAAAGUCAUGGUUAAGUGGGAAACGAUGUGGGAAGGCCCAGACAGCCAGGAUGUUGGCUUAGAAGCAGCCAUCAUUUAAAGAAAGCGUAAUAGCUCACUGGUCGAGUCGGCCUGCGCGGAAGAUGUAACGGGGCUAAACCAUGCACCGAAGCUGCGGCAGCGACACUUUAGUGUUGUUGGGUAGGGGAGCGUUCUGUAAGCCGUUGAAGGUGUCCUGUGAGGGGUGCUGGAGGUAUCAGAAGUGCGAAUGCUGACAUAAGUAACGAUAAAGCGGGUGAAAAGCCCGCUCGCCGGAAGACCAAGGGUUCCUGUCCAACGUUAAUCGGGGCAGGGUGAGUCGACCCCUAAGGCGAGGCCGAAAGGCGUAGUCGAUGGGAAACGGGUUAAUAUUCCCGUACUUGGUGUUACUGCGAAGGGGGGACGGAGAAGGCUAUGUUGGCCGGGCGACGGUAGUCCCGGUUUAAGCGUGUAGGUGUGUGUUCCAGGCAAAUCCGGUUCACUUUAACACUGAGGCGUGAUGACGAGGCACCACGGUGCUGAAGCAACAAAUGCCCUGCUUCCAGGAAAAGCCUCUAAGCAUCAGGUAACAUCAAAUCGUACCCCAAACCGACACAGGUGGUCAGGUAGAGAAUACCAAGGCGCUUGAGAGAACUCGGGUGAAGGAACUAGGCAAAAUGGUGCCGUAACUUCGGGAGAAGGCACGCUGACACGUAGGUGAAGUGAUUUACUCACGGAGCUGAAGUCAGUCGAAGAUACCAGCUGGCUGCAACUGUUUAUUAAAAACACAGCACUGUGCAAACACGAAAGUGGACGUAUACGGUGUGACGCCUGCCCGGUGCCGGAAGGUUAAUUGAUGGGGUCAGCGCAAGCGAAGCUCCUGAUCGAAGCCCCGGUAAACGGCGGCCGUAACUAUAACGGUCCUAAGGUAGCGAAAUUCCUUGUCGGGUAAGUUCCGACCUGCACGAAUGGCGUAAUGAUGGCCAGGCUGUCUCCACCCGAGACUCAGUGAAAUUGAACUCGCUGUGAAGAUGCAGUGUACCCGCGGCAAGACGGAAAGACCCCGUGAACCUUUACUAUAGCUUGACACUGAACAUUGAGCCUUGAUGUGUAGGAUAGGUGGGAGGCUUUGAAGCGUGGACGCCAGUCUGCGUGGAGCCGACCUUGAAAUACCACCCUUUAAUGUUUGAUGUUCUAACGUGGACCCGUAAUCCGGGUUGCGGACAGUGUCUGGUGGGUAGUUUGACUGGGGCGGUCUCCUCCUAAAGAGUAACGGAGGAGCACGAAGGUUGGCUAAUCCUGGUCGGACAUCAGGAGGUUAGUGCAAUGGCAUAAGCCAGCUUGACUGCGAGCGUGACGGCGCGAGCAGGUGCGAAAGCAGGUCAUAGUGAUCCGGUGGUUCUGAAUGGAAGGGCCAUCGCUCAACGGAUAAAAGGUACUCCGGGGAUAACAGGCUGAUACCGCCCAAGAGUUCAUAUCGACGGCGGUGUUUGGCACCUCGAUGUCGGCUCAUCACAUCCUGGGGCUGAAGUAGGUCCCAAGGGUAUGGCUGUUCGCCAUUUAAAGUGGUACGCGAGCUGGGUUUAGAACGUCGUGAGACAGUUCGGUCCCUAUCUGCCGUGGGCGCUGGAGAAUUGAGGGGGGCUGCUCCUAGUACGAGAGGACCGGAGUGGACGCAUCACUGGUGUUCGGGUUGUCAUGCCAAUGGCACUGCCCGGUAGC
rnacentral:rRNA from 1 species